AAACUGGGAUUAGAUACCCCACUAUGCCCCGCCGUAAACUUUUAAUUACACCCCCAUCGCCCGGGAACUACGAGCCAAGCUUAAAACCCAAAGGACUUGACGGUACCCCACAUCCACCUAGAGGAGCCUGUUCUACAAUCGAUAACCCCCGUUUAACCUCACCAUUUUUAGCCAAUCAGUCUGUAUACCUCCGUCGUCAGCUUACCACGUGAGCGACCCAUAAGUGAGCUCAAUGCCCAUACGCCAACACGUCAGGUCAAGGUGCAGCAAAUAAAAUGGAAAGAAAUGGGCUACACUUUCUAAAAUAGAAAACACGAAAGACUAUCUAUGAAAUCCUAGUCAGAAGGCGGAUUUAGUAGUAAAAAGAGAUCAGAGAGCUCUUUUUAACCCGGCACUGGGGUGUGUACACACCGCCCGUCACCCUCUUCGAAGCUCACAGACAGUUAUUAACUAGACCACCGCCAUAUAGAAGAGGCAAGUCGUAACAUGGUAAGUAUACCGGAAGGUGUGCUUGGUAAA
rnacentral:rRNA from 1 species